rnacentral:rRNA from 1 species
GGGCCCGCACAAGCGGUGGAGCAUGUGGUUUAAUUCGAUGCAACGCGAAGAACCUUACCAGGUCUUGACAUCUUCUGCUAACCCAAGAGAUUGGGCGUUCCCUUCGGGGACGGAAUGACAGGUGGUGCAUGGCUGUCGUCAGCUCGUGUCGUGAGAUGUUGGGUUAAGUCCCGCAACGAGCGCAACCCUUAUUGUUAGUUGCCAGCAUUAAGUUGGGCACUCUAGCAAGACUGCCGGUGACAAACCGGAGGAAGGUGGGGAUGACGUCAAGUCCUCAUGCCCCUUAUGACCUGGGCUACACACGUGCUACAAUGGACGGUACAACGAGUCGCAAAACCGCGAGGUCAAGCUAAUCUCUUAAAGCCGUUCUCAGUUCGGAUUGCAGGCUGCAACUCGCCUGCAUGAAGUCGGAAUCGCUAGUAAUCGUGGAUCAGCAUGCCACGGUGAAUACG